rnacentral:rRNA from 1 species
GACGAACCGUGCGAACGUUGUUCGGAAUCACUGGGCUUAAAGGGCGCGUAGGCGGGCUGUCCAGUCUGGGGUGAAAUCCCGCGGCUCAACCGUGGAACUGCCUUAGAUACUGACGGCCUCGAGGGAGAUAGGGGCAUGCGGAACUGUAGGUGGAGCGGUGAAAUGCGUUGAUAUCUACAGGAACUCCGGUGGCGAAGGCGGCGUGCUGGAUCUCUUCUGACGCUGAGGCGCGAAAGCCAGGGGAGCGAACGGG